rnacentral:rRNA from 1 species
UCAAUCUCGUGCGGCUAUAUAUACCGCCGGUCCCUCUAAGAAGAUUUUCAUUGUACGCCGGUAGUGAAGACCGCGACGCGCCCGCGCCCCCGACGCAGAACGCCGAAGGCGACGAACACGCGCGGACCCUCGUGAUACCGGUUGUACGUCUAUUUAAUAGGCUAGAGUUACGUUCGUUAC